rnacentral:rRNA from 1 species
CCCAGACUCCUACGGGAGGCAGCAGUGGGGGAUAUUGCACAAUGGGGGGAACCCUGAUGCAGCGACGCCGCGUGGGUGAAGAAGUAUUUCGGUAUGUAAAGCCCUAUCGGCAGGGAAGAAAUUGGACGGUACCUGACUAAGAAGCCCUGGCUAACUACGUGCCAGCAGCCGCGGUAAUACGUAGGGGGCAAGCGUUAUCCGGAUUCACUGGGUGUAAAGGGAGCGUAGACGGCCAUGCAAGCCUGGAGUGAAAGCCCGGGGCCCAACCCCGGGACUGCUCUGGGAACUGUGCGGCUGGAGUGCGGGAGGGGCAGGCGGAAUUCCUGGUGUAGCGGUGAAAUGCGUAGAUAUCAGGAGGAACACCGGCGGCGAAGGCGGCCUGCUGGACCGCGACUGACGUUGAGGCUCGAAAGCGUGGGGAGCAAACAGGAUUAGAUACCCUUGUAAUC